UACGUAGGGGGCUAGCGUUGUCCGGAAUCACUGGGCGUAAAGCGCACGUAGGCGGAUUGUUAAGUCAGGGGUGAAAUCCUGGAGCUCAACUCCAGAACUGCCUUUGAUACUGGCGAUCUCGAGUCCGGGAGAGGUGAGUGGAACUGCGAGUGUAGAGGUGAAAUUCGUAGAUAUUCGCAAGAACACCAGUGGCGAAGGCGGCUCACUGGCCCGGUACUGACGCUGAGGUGCGAAAGCGUGGGGAGCAAACAGG
rnacentral:rRNA from 1 species